rnacentral:rRNA from 1 species
UACGGAGGGGGCUAGCGUUGUUCGGAAUUACUGGGCGUAAAGCGCACGUAGGCGGCUUUGUAAGUUAGAGGUGAAAGCCCGGGGCUCAACUCCGGAAUUGCCUUUAAGACUGCAUCGCUAGAAUUGUGGAGAGGUAAGUGGAAUUCCGAGUGUAGAGGUGAAAUUCGUAGAUAUUCGGAAGAACACCGGUGGCGAAGGCGGGUCUCUGGGCAACAACUGACGCUGAGGAGCGAAAGCGUGGGGAGCGAACAGG